CGAACGCUGGCGGCGUGCUUAACACAUGCACGUCGACCGGAAAGGCCCCUUUGGGGGUACUCGAGUGGCGAACGGGUGAGUAACACGUGAGUAACCUGCCCUUGACUUCGGGAUAACUUCAGGAAACUGGGGCUAAUACCGGAUAGGAAUCCUUGCUGCAUGGUGGGGGUUGGAAAGCUUCGGCGGUUUUGGAUGGACUCGCGGCUUAUCAGCUUGUUGGUGGGGUAGUGGCUUACCAAGGCUUUGACGGGUAGCCGGCCUGAGAGGGCGACCGGCCACAUUGGGACUGAGAUACGGCCCAGACUCCUACGGGAGGCAGCAGUGGGGAAUAUUGCACAAUGGGCGGAAGCCUGAUGCAGCAACGCCGCGUGCGGGAUGACGGCCUUCGGGUUGUAAACCGCUUUCAGCAGGGGCGAAGCUUGUGGUGACGGUACCUGCAGAAGAAGCACCGGCUAACUACGUG
rnacentral:rRNA from 1 species